rnacentral:rRNA from 1 species
AUUGAACGCUGGCGGCAGGCUUAACACAUGCAAGUCGAGCGGGGUGAUGGUGCUUGCACUAUCACUUAGCGGCGGACGGGUGAGUAAUGCUUAGGAAUCUGCCUAUUAGUGGGGGACAACAUCUCGAAAGGGAUGCUAAUACCGCAUACGUCCUACGGGAGAAAGCAGGGGAUCACUUGUGACCUCGCGCUAAUAGAUGAGCCUAAGUCGGAUUAGCUAGUUGGGGGGGUAAAGGCCUACCAAGGCGACGAUCUGUAGCGGGUCUGAGAGGAUGAUCCGCCACACUGGGACUGAGACACGGCCCAGACUCCUACGGGAGGCAGCAGUGGGGAAUAUUGGACAAUGGGGGGAACCCUGAUCCAGCCAUGCCGCGUGUGUGAAGAAGGCCUUAUGGUUGUAAAGCACUUUAAGCGAGGAGGAGGCUCUUUUGGUUAAUACCCAAGAUGAGUGGACGUUACUCGCAGAAUAAGCACCGGCUAACUCUGUGCCAGCAGCCGCCGUAA